AGCAGCCGCGGUAAUUCCAGCUCCAAUAGCGUAUAUUAAAGUUGUUGCAGUUAAAAAGCUCGUAGUUGAACCUUAGGCCCGUGCGGGCGGUCCGUCCUCUGGGCGAGCACUGCCUCGUCGCGGGUCUCACCUUCUGGCGAGCGUGGAUGCCAUUCACUUGGUGUCUGCGGGAACCAGGACCUUUACCUUGAAAAAAUUAGAGUGCUCAAAGCGGGCUCUUACGCUUGAAUACAUUAGCAUGGAAUAAUGAAAUAGGACGACGGUUCUAUUUUGUUGGU
rnacentral:rRNA from 1 species